GAUGAACGCUGGCGACGUGCCUAACACAUGCAAGUCGAGCGAUCUUCUUCGGAAGAGAGCGGCGGACGGGUGAGUAACGCGUGGGUAACCUGCCCUGUACACACGGAUAACAUACCGAAAGGUAUGCUAAUACGAGAUAAUAUGCUUUUAUCGCAUGGUAGAAGUAUCAAAGCUCCGGCGGUACAGGAUGGACCCGCGUCUGAUUAGCUAGUUGGUAAGGUAACGGCUUACCAAGGCGACGAUCAGUAGCCGACCUGAGAGGGUGAUCGGCCACAUUGGAAUUGAGACACGGUCCAAACUCCUACGGGAGGCAGCAGUGGGGAAUAUUGCACAAUGGGCGAAAGCCUGAUGCAGCAACGCCGCGUGAGCGAUGAAGGCCUUCGGGUCGUAAAGCUCUGUCCUCAAGGAAGAUAAUGACGGUACUUGAGGAGGAAGCCCCGGCUAACUACGUGCCAGCCGCCGCAGUAA
rnacentral:rRNA from 1 species